rnacentral:lncRNA from 1 species
AGACUAUUUGGCAUGAAUUCAAUAAAGAGGUGAUUUAGAUAACUCGAUCCUAAUCCUCUUACAUUCCUAGCAAUGAAACACUCGGGUUCAAAGCUUCAACACGAAUGCUUCCAACAUGAAACAAAGUUUAAGUAUAUGUCAACAAUACUAUACAAAUAAACGAACAGCUUCACAGUAUAUUCGUUCAAUCAUACAUUCCAACACAUUCAUACAUAAGCCAACUGUGCUUUGAAAAGGUUCAACAUAUUUGGUGUCAUUCGACACUUGCUACAAUGUGCCUAGACACCUUGCCCUUAUUCUCACCAACCAGGUGAUGAAAUGUGAAGAAGAAACUCAUCUUCAUGCCACCAACCAGGUGAUGAAAUGUACAACCCGUACUCUAAUCUCAUUUGGCAACUUGCCAUUCAUGCCACCAACCAGGUGAUGAAAUUACAACCCGUACUCUCCUUCAUGCCACCAACCAGGUGAUGAAAUGUAUAACCCGUACUCUAAUAUCAUUUGGUAACUUGCCACUCAUGCCACCAACCAGGUGAAGAAGGAACUCAUCUUUAUGCCACCAACCAGGUGAUGAAAUGUACAACCUAUACUCCCCUUCAUGCCACCAACCAGGUGAUGAAAUGUACAACUCGUACUCUAAUAUCAUUUGGCAACUUGCCAUUCAUGCCACCAACCAGGGGAAGAAGGAACUCAUCAUCGUGCCACCAACCAGAUGAUGAAAUGUGAUGAAAGGUUAUGAAGUAACUCACAUUCGUACCACCAACCAAGUGAUGAAAGCAACUCACCAUUCAUUCCACUUACCAGAAGACGAGUGGUACAACUUGUACAUGUGAACUCCUAGCAAUCACAAAUAAUAAAAAACCCUUAAGCUUGACAGCUCAACUAGGAGAGCACUUAUGCCCAACAAGAUUUAUAGUCACCAACAAAGUCUUAUUGCAAGCCAACAACAACUUCAGUGCAUGGCAUACGAAGAUCAAGUUAUUCAGCCCUUUUGUCAACAACUUCAGUUCAACCACAAUUCUCAAAAGUUUCACACACUAUUGAUCAAGACAGUGUGAAGCAAAACCAAUUUAUGGUGCCAACAAGAGCUUCAUCAAUGGAGGGCAACCACAAUUCUCAAAAGCUUCACACACUCUUGAUCAAGACAGUGUAAAGCAAAACCAAUUUAUGGUGCCAAUAAGAUAUUCAUCAACAGAGGGCAACCACAAUUCUCAAAAGCUUCACACACUCUUGAUCAAGACAGUGUGAAGCAAAACCAAUUUAUGGUGCCAACAAGAACUUCAUCAAUGGAUGGCAACCACAAUUCUCAAAAGCUUCACACACUUUUGAUCAAGACAAUGUGAAGCAAAACCAAUUUAUGGUGCCAACAAGAGCUUCAUCAACAGAGGGCAACCACAAUUCUCAAAAGCUUCACACACUGUUGAUCAAGACAAUGUGAAGCAAAACCAAUUUAUGGUGCCAACAAGAACUUCAUCAAUGGAGGGCAACCAUAAUUCUCAAAAACUUCACACACUCUUGACAGUGUGAAGCAAAACCAAUUUAUGGUGCCAACAAGAGCUUCAUCAAAGGAGUUCAACCAUAAUUCUUAAAAGCUUCACACACUCUUGAUCAAGACAGUGUGAAGCAAAACCAAUUUAUGGUGCCAAUAAGAGCUUCAUCAAUGAAAGGCAACCAUAAUUCUCAAAAGCUUCAGUGCAGGGUUGAUCAAGACAGUGUGAAGCAAAACCAAUUUAUGGUGCCAACAAAAGCUUCAUCAAAGAAGUUCAACCACAAUUCUCAAAAGCUUCACACACUCUUGAUCAAGACAGUGUGAAGCAAAACCAAUUUAUGGUGCCAACAAAAGCUUCAUCAAUGGAGGGCAACUACAAUUCUCAGACUUUCGAAGCAAAUUCAAUUUAUAUGGUUCAUCUAAACCUUUGAUUACUACAGGGUGUGGCUUGCAUCACAAUCUCUUGCCCAACAGUGUGGAAGCAAAAUUUGUAUAUGUUGACUCUCCCACAUUUUCAAAUUUCUAGUUUUCCAAAAAAAAAAAAAAAAAAAGGAAAUUCAACAAAGCUUCAUCUAUGGAGGACAACUACAAAUUAAAGCUUUAUCAAUGGAGGACAACUACAAAUUCUCAAAAGCUUCACACUAUCUUGAUCAAGAUAG